UAUAUAUAUAGUUAUGAUUUUUUUUUAACUUCAUCGGUUAAUUUUAAUUUGAAUAAUAAUAAACUACAUUAUAUUUAUCCAUAUCAAGUUAGUAUCAUAUAUCAUGUUCGUUUUUUGAAAAAUAUUGCGUAUUGAAAAUUUUUAACUUUUUUGGCACGUUCGUUCAAAUCUUUUAGAAUUUUUUUUUUUUUUUUUUACAGAUCUAAAAUAGUUUUGUAUAAUUUAAGAUGAAGAAUUCAAGAUGAAGAAUUCAAAAUCAAUUGAUAUCUGAAUAGUCAAGUAAAAAUAAGGUUCGUGUAAUUUAUAAGGAAUUAUUUGAAGCAAAUAGUACAAAUGACAAAUUCUCAGAAUUCAUAUUUGAAGCGUAAUUUAAUCUUCCUUUGAACGAAUAUCGUAAAUUCACGGCACUAUUAUUAUUUUUUUUGUAUAUACUAUUUGUUACAAUCAUUGAAGUAUGAAAUAGUUUAAUAUCAAGAAGCAAAUAUCAACAUUAUUAUUAGUGGGGAGGAUUAAAUCAAAGAUGUUCCUCAUAAAUAUAAAUGAAACACUCUUAUAUUCGCAGUCGAGAAAGCUAGUUCAAACUGUGAAAAUGAAUAUUUAUUGAUAGAGUGGUAUUUCUCAAGGAGGUUCGACGUUUGAACGUAAUAUUCAACGAUUCAAAGAAAUAAUAUGGAUAAUAUUUUAAUAACAUAAUCGGAUAUGGAAAAUUAUUUACGCAAAGUUACAGCAAAAGUAAAAUUCAAACAUCAUUCUGAUAAAAUAUUUAAGAAGUUAACUUUUAAAAAGUUUUGGCCUGAAAAAAAUAUUUUUGAAUUAAAA